GAUGAAGAACGUAGUGAAAUGCAAUACGUAAUGUGAAUUGCAGAAUUCAGUGAAUCAUCGAGUCUUUGAACGCACAUUGCGCCCCCUGGUAUUCCGGGGGGCAUGCUUGUCCGAGCGUCAUUGCUGCCCUCAAGCACGGCUUGUGUGUUGGGCCUCCGUCCUCCUCCCGGGGGACGGGCCCGAAAGGCAGCGGCGGCACCGCGUCCGGUCCUCGAGCGUAUGGGGCUUCGUCACCCGCUCUUGUAGGCCCGGCCGGCGCUUGCCGACACAUCAAUCUUUUUUCCAGGUUGACCUCGCAUCAGGUAGGGAUACCCGCUGAACUUAAGCAUAUCAAUAAGCGGAGGA
rnacentral:misc_RNA from 1 species